rnacentral:misc_RNA from 1 species
CGGUUAGUCCAAUUACUACCCACAUGAGAUAAUCCGCCAAUGGUAUCAUGAAUUUAUGACAAAAGAAUAUAUAGAAUUCCAAGCGAACUAAGACCUGCAGCUUGCUCUUCAUUUUUCUUUUUCUUUUUUCAAUCCAUCAAGUCCCCUAGGCUCUAAUUGUGCUAAAAAGGACAAAAGUCGUCUUGCAACGGAGCAACUCCACCCACCAGAAAACAUCAAUCAUUCUUCUUCUACCAGUCGUCAAGCCAUUCAGGAACAUUAAGAUCAUCUACCUCUCGCGAUGGGGAGGCUAAAGGAACAGUGCAGUCGUCAGGAUGACUUUCCAAAUGUUGGGUAAUACGAAAGGUUAUAUCAUGAGGAACAUGAAAGCUUCCAUCUCUAAUCCCCUCCCAGUCAAUACCAGCAAACCAUGGGUGACUUUUGACGGAAUCAGGGCCUAGGCAUCCAAGUCUUUUAUCUUCAUCAACUUCAAGCAACUUUGUGAUGAGAUCUGCGGCUUCAAGGCUAAAAGUAGGGGGAAGAGUUAUUUGUCCUUUUGCAAUCUUUGCAUAAGUAUCAAGCUCACUUUCUCUCCAUGACCCAAAUGGCAUUUCACCUUGCAGCAUGAAGUAGAUCAAGACUCCCAAUGCCCACCAGUCAGAAGGAAGACCAUGCCCUUUUCCCUGGACUAUCUCUGGAGCCAAAGAAUCUGCCAUUCCACAAAUUGUAAAUGUUCUCUCGCCAGACAACUUUUUCCCAAAUCUGAAGUCUACUAGCUGUAAAAAUCCUUUUUGGUCCAACAUUAAGACAUCAGGGGACACACCUCUGUAGAGAACACCAUUCUUGUGUAAAUCUUCUAAAGCGAUAACAACAGAGGCAGCACAAUACCGUGCAGAUGGUUCAUCAAGUGCAGUGUGAAGAAUUGAAGCCAAAGGACAAGCCAAGCAUGCAUUCAACAAAAUGCCAGCAUGUGUUCUAUCUGCACAAGUACAUAGAACCUGAGGCACACAAGCUGAAGGAUUCAUACUCUUUAUUAGAUUCUUCUCUUUCAAAACUUGUGCCUCCUUUCCCAGCCUCUUGAUCUUCUGCUUUGAAAACCUUUUCAAACUAAGCAAAUUUUCUGAGUCCUUCAAAAGUACAAGUCCAAUCUCACUGCAGUCAGUGCUAUACAAACAAGUCCUCCAUUCCAGAUCAAAGAGGCAAACUUUGAGAGAAGCUGAAAUAUCAGUACUUUCCAUAGAUUCCUUGGAAAAAUCUGAAGAUGAACCCCCUGACUUUUCAACAUCCUGUGAAAGCUUUGUCAAAGGGCCAACUACUGAAUCAAAAUUUUCCUUUGUUAAGAUGGAACACAUGCAAUCACCCACAGCAACUGCACUUAAUGAACCAAUAUCUUCACCCAGAAGCACCCACUCACCAAAAUAGCUACCCUCUGUCUUUUCCAAUGAGAGCAUUUUACCACUCAUCAGAUUAUUAUCCUCUUUUUGAUUGUCAGACUUCAGACUUCCAACAUUUGGGCUACCUAAUAUGUGUGCGUCAAAAGUGAGUCUCACUUGUCCCCUCUGGAUGAUGUACAACGCAGAGGGCCCCUCAUUCCCAUCAACUAUUGUCUGUCCAUCUGAGAAGGAAACUUCAGAAAGAGAAUCAGCAAUGUGACUGAGCUGCAAGAUUGUCAAUCUGGAAAGAAGAUCCACAGUACGUAGCAACUUCAGGGAUGACAAAUUAGAAAAUUCUGACAUCAGAAUUCCACGAAAAUCUUCUCUCUUUAAAGCCCAUAGUGUUCCACUUGUUACAGCACGUACAGAGGCCUGAAGUGGCUUAUUGUACAUCAGUGCCAGCUCUCCAAAGGAUGAUAACUUCUCUGCUGUAUAACGCUGCAAAACCUUUGGCACCUCUCCAUUUUUCUCUUCCUGGGUGGCAAAGACCUCAAAUUCUCCACUACCAACAACAUAAAAGCAAUCACCUUCACCACCCUGUUUAACUACAACUUCUCCUGGCUGGACUUCAACUCUUUGCAUGCAAUCCAACAAAACAUGGCACUGAGAAUCAGUAAGCUUUCUGAAAAGGAAGUGGUCAUGCAAUGCCCUCUCGAUGUGCGCUUCUUCUUCCCAAGUUUUCCUAUGGGCUGGAGAGGGAGGAACCCAAAUUUUCCCAUUCUCAAGUGAACUCUCAAUUGCACGAAGCCGAGCCCGAGAUAAAUCAUGCCUCACACGAUGGUUCCUAGAGUUCCAGCUAAAGGUUAAAGGAGAUUCUGACCCUGUCACCUCUACAACUUGAGGAAUAGGGGGUUGUAAGAAGGAACCUGGACAUGUUGAUUGACCAACAGCACUAUCAGUUAGUCCAUCAACAUGCACAACUAUCACAGUGAUGUCAUCGGUACGAGUUUCGUACUGUAGCCAAAGUCGAUAAGAUAAUUGCAGCACAAGCAUCCCGUGGAUCUUUAUAUUUUUCAACCAUCUCAACCACAUUUUGGCUUGAGAGGAACUCAAAGACCCCAUCACUAGCAAGCACAAAGAAAGGGAUGGGGUAAGCUCAAAAACAACAAUUUCAGGAUUAGACACAACACCAAUUGUCUCAGCAAUGGAAUCCCCAAUACUCCUUGUAAACGCAGUUCCGGGAUACAUCCCAUUUUGGACCCACAAUCUCGGAGGAUCACCAUCAUCAUCCUCCUCAUUUCCCCAACACUGCACAUCUGGAUUCUUUAAACCCUCAAUCUGAUCCAAAGUAAGCACUCUUGCACCACAAAGCUUGACCCUCUCCAGCUCAUCAGCUCUAAAAGGAGUUUGAUCAAUAGACAAAUCAACAGCAGCAAUCUCAUUCCCUCUCCGCUCGGCUAUAACAGCUCUAGAAUCUCCCGAAUUAGCCACGUAUAUCGUCCUUCCCCUGACCAACACAGUGAUCGCCGUAGUACCGCUCAUGCUAUCAUCCAAACUAUCAGCUUGCAACUGCGAAUUGGUAGUCAAAAACGCCGAAUGACAAGCCUCCACGGCGUCUACGUGAAACUUGGUGCCCCUCAGCAGAUUCUCACACAGCUUCCGCUUCACGAAUUGGGAGCACUGGGCCCCAAAUUCUCCAUGCCCAUCAAAGACCCCAAAGAAAUGAUCGUCUGGACUCGCCCCAAAAGGAGUGUGGAUACAGAAACUGUCCUGAUUAGCCUUAUCGAGUGCAUCGGGGUAGUAACCUCGCUGCGACAAAUACGAGUAUCUCAAUUCGUAGUUGGCCGAUGGGACCUUNNNNNNNNNNNNCAUCUGGAGGAAGGAACUGAGAGGAAACCCUAGAAAGUCUGGUGAUACCAAGUUCAGGGUCUCGAGUCAAGCUCAACUGGUUAAUUUGGUCACGAGUUUCUGAUUCCGGAGAAGACGACGGCGGCGAGAAGACAGGCAAAUCAGUCCCUCUCGCAUUUUGGCUACUCUGCAAGGUCUGGGCCUGUUGUUGUUGUUGUUGUUGCUGCUGCUGCUGCUUGACUCUGGGGUCUCUGGGUACACACACCUCGCCGAUGCAGCCUCGAGAGUAGACGCAACCCAUUUAGUGAAAAUUCAUGAGAUGAUUGUCUUCAAUUUCCUUCAAAAAAAUUUUCAAAAAUCACCAAACCGGAAAAAAAGAAAAAAUUUUCAGCACUCAUUACAAAAUGAUUCCUGUUAGC